rnacentral:rRNA from 1 species
GAUGAACGCUAGCGGCAGGCCUAACACAUGCAAGUCGAGGGGUAUAGGCUUUCGGGCCUAGAGACCGGCGCACGGGUGCGUAACGCGUAUGCAAUCUACCUUGUACAGGGGGAUAGCCCAGAGAAAUUUGGAUUAAUACCCCAUGGUAUUUUAGGGUGGCAUCACCUUAUUAUUAAAGUUCCAACGGUACAAGCUGAGCAUGCGUCCCAUUAGCUAGUUGGUAUGGUAACGGCAUACCAAGGCAAUGAUGGGUAGGGGUCCUGAGAGGGAGAUCCCCCACACUGGUACUGAGACACGGACCAGACUCCUACGGGAGGCAGCAGUGAGGAAUAUUGGUCAAUGGGCGCAAGCCUGAACCAGCCAUGCCGCGUGCAGGAUGACGCAUCUAUGGUGUGUAAACUGCUUUUGUACGGGAAGAAACCACUCUACGUGUAGAGUAUUGACGGUACCGUAAGAAUAAGGAUCGGCUAACUCCGUGCCAGCCGCCGCCGUAA